rnacentral:tRNA from 1 species
CGGCGACUUGGCGCGAUCUACGCUGGCUCGCCUCUCACGCGAGCCUGGGUCUCCUGCUGGGGUUGGCGGGGGUCGUCCUGCCGAUCAUCGCCGUCC